rnacentral:misc_RNA from 1 species
AGGGCUACCUCUCAUCAGCCGACCGUCUCGACGAAGCGUACUCGAGACCAGUACGACGUGCGGUAGUGCCACAUGGCCGCAGGGCCCGAGGGCUCGAUCACGCUGGGCACGCC